rnacentral:lncRNA from 1 species
GGAGAAAAGUAAACACCGGCAAGUGCAGCUGUGUCGGGGGAGGGUGGAUAUUAUCCCCCCUCCCACCGCCCCUUUGGCUCUGCCUCCCAGAGAGCCCCGAGAGGUCCCGGCUGCCGCUGCCCGGACAGCGCGCUCGGGGCUGCAGAGCCGGAGGAGCUGAGAAAGGAGCAGACGGGCGGCGCGCAGUCUGGAGAGAGAGAACGGAAAGGAACACAGCUAAUGUUGGACAAUUUGCAGGUGCAUUCAUGCUUUUGACCAAACAGAAUGCCAUUUGUGUUUCAGAGUUUCAACUCCCCACCUCUACAUCAUUACUCCCCAAGAUGGCAACAGAGAAGGAGCAGCCAGUUGACAUGGGCAUCGUUGUGUGA